CCGGUACGAGCUGCGGGAGAUUGCGGUAAUUUCAAAACCCUGCACUUGCUUCAGCUCCACCCUUGACCGCCACCGCCACCCACCUUCACUGGAAAACGGCUUCCUCCAACUUCAAGGAAUUGCUCAGGAAGCAGGAACAAGAAGCCGCAGCAGAAGCAUGUCAUCCCUAAGGAAUGCUAUUCCCAAAAGGGCUCACAAGGAGCGAUCUCAACCGCACUCAAGGAAGAAAUAUGGACUCCUUGAGAAACACAAGGACUAUGUUGUCCGUGCAAAAGCUUUCCACAAGAAAGAGGAAACUUUACGGAGGCUCAAGGAGAAAGCUGCUUUUAGGAAUCCUGAUGAGUUUUACUUCAAGAUGAUUAAAACUAGAACUGUCCAUGGAGUUCAUAGACCAGAGAGUCAAGCAAACAAAUACACUCAUGAAGAGCUCAUGUUGAUGAAGACACAGGAUAUUGGGUAUGUUCUUCAGAAACUGCAAAGUGAAAAGAAGAAAAUUGAAAAACUGACAGCCAUAUUGCACUCUCUUGAUAUUCAGCCAUCAAACAGGCAUAUUUACUAUGCUGAAGACAGGGAGGAGGCUAGAGAGUUAAAGUCACGGUCUUCAGAAAAUAAAAUUGUAAUUGCUUCUGACGAUGUCCCCAAUGACAUUAAGAGGAAAACCACCAGUUCCUACAGAGAGCUAGAAGCCCGGAAGAACAGAGUAAAUCAGUUGGAGAAAGUAUAUGCAGAUAUGGCAUUGCAGAAGGAAUUACAGAAAAAGGGUCGAAAGCGCAAACUGCAUGAAGAUGAGAUCGUCUGUCCAACUUCCAAAUCAGUAUAUAAAUGGCGAUCAGAAAGAAAGCGGUGAAAGGAAAGCUUUAUUCUUGUGGGAGGUUAAACAAAGUUCUUAUUUUGGAUCACUUCGACAGUAUGAGCUCCACGUCAUUGUCAGCUGAAGGAAUUGACGAACCACUUGAGCUGGUGGUGUGAAAUGACUGGCAUUCAAAUGUAACAUUUGUAU
rnacentral:misc_RNA from 1 species